GGAUGUCCCGGGGGCUGGUUGGUUCUGGGAAACUCUGGUCUCCUCCCUGCCUUGUCUGAGGCUGACCUUGGUGACGUUCACCAAGACACUCCAUUCAACCAUUGCUUCUUUCUGCCACUGAUCGAUGCAGAAAACAUAUCUAGUGAAUAGUUCAGUGAGGAUGAAAUCUAGCAAUGACUCCAAGAGAUCUGAAUGCUGCUUGAAGACCAUAUAAGCGUGUAGUGAAAGACUCUUUAAGGUUCUUCUGCUAGCUGUCAUACUUACUGCCCCUUGCCUAAGCAAGCUCAAACACCUUUUCACCCUUUAUGAAUGAAAGAACUUAACUUAAAAAGAAGAAAAGAAGAUUCUAGAGGAGAGGAACAGGGAGAAGCCACUACAUAGGAGACUCUCAAUAAUAAUUUUGCUCUGUAAGUGCAGAUAAAAAAUUAUAAAACUUUUUGGAGAGAACAGACUAUGUUCCUUCUGACUCAAACACUCUAGAAAAACACUUCCUUUGCCUUCUCUAUCUUUAGCACCUUUUAUUACCCCAGUGACUAGCUAUGUUGUAUUUACGAGACAAUUUUUCACUGCAUGACGAAAACCCUCAUGUAGCUUCAUGUGGCAACUUUCCUACUCCAAACAACUCUGAAGCGUAUUAAUUUUCAUCUUUCAGUUGUCUACACAAACAAUUUUCUCUAGCUCUAGCUGCCUGCAUAUGGGGUCUGAGAGAGCAGCAUGGGGCAGGUGGGUGCUGCUCCAACCCCGGGUCCUGAUGCAUCCGCAGCAAGGAGCUGCAGACAUUAAUGGCCCCUCUGCAGUGAGCACAUCUGAAAGCGGUCAAAUCCCACAUCCUCUUGAGAAUCCAGCCUGAAAAAUGGAAAACUUUUGUUUCUGAAACAGUCAAACAAACUCGCAGGAUUUUUCUGAUGAUUGCCCCCCACCCCAGAAUUUUUUUUGGCUGAAAUCUAGUCACUAAAUCUGACCCAAAUUCAAAAAUAUUUUUGGCUUCCGAUGAGGAGAGAAGGGCCUGACUUGAGCGAGGUGUUCCAAAAAUCUGGGCUUCAGUCUAAAUUUAAGCAAGGGGAGUACUUCCUAUUUUAUUUUUUAUUUUAUUUUUUAUAGCCCAUCAAACCUCAUCCUGUUCUUGCAUCGGAGCCUUGCUCAGAGCUGGUUCUGCUUCACUGGUGCUGCAUACCUAGGAGUUUUGACAAGACAUUUACAUGGUGUGCUCAGUGUGUUCUUGGUUCACAGCAGUUGUUGCUAAUUAACGUCUGAGCCACUUUCUAAGCACACGUUCCAAGUAGGGUCCUCAUGAUUAAGGUUUUAAAAUUUCAAUUACAAUCCAAGUUUUUUUCAACAGAUAACUUAAUGCAAAAGAAAUGUCCUCUCAGCAUCCAAACUGUCAAUUGAAGAAGGGAGUGCAGUUUUUAGUUUUACUUUUAACUUUGACUUUAAAAGACUGUUUGACUCAACUCUUCCUGUUAUGGCAAAGACCCUGUUUUUUUCAAAUCCCAGAAUUUCUUCUUCUAAAAUCAUUUCAUUCUGCCAAUAACCAUGUUUGGGCUUUUUUUUUAACCAGAUCAUUUUAACCAAAAGACAAGUAAAAGGUUAUUUUGUUGUUGUUGUUUAUAUAUAUAUAUAUAUACACAUAUAAAAAAAUAUGUAUAUUUAUACAUAUAUAUAUAUUGAGAUUUCAAGUGAAGGGAGUAGAAAGGCUAUUCUCCUUCUAAUUGGAUAACUGUUUGGUGACACAUAACCUGAAGGUGGUAAAGGCCAGAAACUCAAGGUUCCUUCCCAAUUCUCCAGUGCAGAAGUCAAGAGCACAUCAGCCUAUCAGCCUCUGUUAGGGCAAAGGGUGAGAUCUUGCACUCUUAUUUUGAGUUGGCUGCAAACAUUCCCUGAUUCAACCUAUUGACUUCCUUGGAGUACUACUUCUGAAGAAAGGAUUUAAUUGGUAUGAGUCAGGACGGCUAUCAUUGAUCUUAAGGAAAACAGGGAUCCUUGCUAAUUAUGUUAAUUUCAUUGAUAGAAGUUUCUUGUGAAGGAGAAGACAAACAUGAUGAACUGCAUUAACAGGAAAUGGAGGCUGCUACAAUAGUUCUGUGAGACCUGUUCGUGGUCUCCUUCUCAAAACAACUAACAGCAGCCAAGCAUGACUCUGCCAUUGUUUCUGGGGUGGCCCUGGUGAAUUUUUUACGAGGCUAGUGAUAGGAUGCCUUGGCACACAUCCUAGACUCUGCUGCUUCUUUCACAGGAUGGGGAUUGUUGGGUUUUCCCUGCUGUCUCCUGCUGCAGAAGUUGAACUCAGUUGACAGCACCCUUAGAAUAGAAAGUUUUGUUCCCCUCUAGUUGGCUGUUGAAAUAAGCUGAGGCCCCGAGCCGCUGCUGAGUUUGAAUGUGUAUCCCACGCAACCGCCCCUUUGCAAACGCAAAGUACUUCAUCAUCAUGAACGUGCUGCUGCUAUCAGCAGCAGCUCCCAGGGAGAGAAGGAUGAACAUUUUCCCCAUAGGAAAUGAGGGAAAAAGGUCAUAGAGGUUGGUGCUGUGACCAGAACCACGCAAAGAAUCUGUGCUGGAGUGCAGCUUUGGAGGCAUGUGUAUGUGGCUGAGUGACGUGGGACUGACAUGACCUCUGAGCCUUUUGUCCUUCUCCCUCUGAACUCCUGUCUAGGAUGGAGCCUGUGGCAACUGAAUCAUGGCUGGCUAGCUCAUAUGGACUAUUCCUGAACGGCAAAGUGAAGUGUGACCUUCCCAACAGGCAAUGGUAAUUGUUUCAACAGGCUUUCCUGGUGAGCUCUGGUCCAGCUGAGAGGGACUGUUACUAAGCAGCCACCUUGAGCUGGCAACCAACUUUUAAUCAGAGAGAUCAGUUCAUGUCCACUUGUGCAUUUAGCAGUAAAGCUAGAAACAUUUAAAAAGAAGGGAAGGCAAAUUUCUCUUUUCUCUCAAUGGAUUCUGCCGAUUCUGCAAAGAGUUGAUCUUCUCUCUUGUGCUGAUAAUGAUGUGUGCAUGCUUAUGCCAUACAUCCUUACCAGAACCCCUCAGCAACUCCUGUUUAUUUGAGUUGCUUCAUAAAGUAAUGUGUCAAUUUGGAAAUCAUUAGGUAUUCCUACCAGGAGUCAAAGACCACAUUGAGAGUGGAUUACAUGCAUGUUUCUUAAAAGUGUUAAUGUGCUAAUCUGCUGGUUACUUGAUCCAGGCAAAAUGCCAUGAUAUUCCACAUGAGCAAAAUACCAUGGUUCUUGGAGAUUUCAUAUAAAUAUUACCCACUGUGCUUCCACAUUUGAAGUGUUGUACUUGUC
ensembl:lncRNA